AUUUUAUUUUAUUUUAUUCAUAUUUUAGUGUGUGUGUGUGUGGGGAGGUGGGGACAGAGAGAGAGGGAGCAAGAGAAUCCCUGGUAGGUCCAGGUCCAGCAUGGAGUCUGUCGUGGGGCUGGAUCCCACAACCCUGAAAUCAUGAUCAGAGCUGAAAUCAAGCAUCUGACACUUAAUUGAACCAAGCACCCUCUACUUCAUUUUAAAUGUAAAACAUGUCAAAUAAAUGAUGUUUAGCUUGGAGCACCCAGAAAUAAGGCUUGGUAGAGUAGCAUUCUGCACUGGAGGGUGAGUGGUGGGUCAACCAUUAAGCCGCUGCCCUCCUGGGCCCCUCCAGGCACAGAGUGAACACCAUUGUGAGGUCACUCAGUCUGAUAGGUCACUCAGGCAGGGAUAGGGACACCUGGAAAGUUUCUUUAACUCAGGUUUAAGGCGGCGAUAAAUGUAUCAAGAAUGAGUGAACCCAUGUUGUGGAAUAGACUCUUGAUGCUUUUCAUUACCUUGGUGGAAGAAAAAGAAGGAAUGAAAUGCAAAAGCACAAUGGGAAGACUUUUAAUAGAGUGUCUUCCCAGGUGAAGGAGCAUUACAAGUGCUACAGUCUUCAACAUAAUCUAUGGCUGCUGAACUUAAUACACCCUGCAUUGACCAUUUUGCAAAAUAAUGAUGCUCUCUCCUUAUCAGCUCAUCUGCUGCCAGUCAAUAAUUUAUCUGAACGGAUUCUUUCAGCAUCAAUAUACAGUGCAAGUCCAGGUCUUCUGUGUGCAUAUCUGAAGAAAUUCUAUGCAUUGGGUCUAAGCCUUUGUGAAUAGACAUGAUUCACGGAGUGACAACUACUGAAAAUGCAGGCUUAGGUGGAAUUCUUCUUCCAAUUAGGUAAAAGACCUUAGACCUUUCACUCUUGUGAAAAGCCAUAAUUGUAAAGGAAAGACAUUUCUAUUCUUGCUAUCUUAAUUGUCACAUUCUUUUUGGUUUUCAUCUUUUUCUCAUUAGGAGAAGGUUU
rnacentral:lncRNA from 12 species